UGCUACAAUAUUUAUAACCGGAAUCCCAAUUCCGCUAUUUCCCUCCCAAACCAUCGAUCGGCGUGCAACCCCUCGAUUCCAUUCGCCCUUGUUGCGUAUCUCCUUCGAUCCGUCGAUCGAGGAUGGUGUCUAUCGCGGCGGGGAGCGGGUUGCCCUGGAGAUCGCCUCCAGCCGCCUCUAGGAUUUGGUUGAUUCCCUUCAUCAAUCCGGCGCACCAGUUACGAAUCAUAUCAUCUUGAAUCGAAUGGUUUCCUACAUCAAUCAGGAUCACCAGGACCUUGCUUCAGGAACUCUGUAGUCUCCCCAAAGACUGGCCAACCCAUAGUCCCCGGAGGCAGGCUCUUCUUCCUGUACCUCACCUCAUUCCAU